rnacentral:lncRNA from 10 species
AUUCAAAACUGUGGAUUCCAUUCCAGCAGAUGUAGCUAAAAUGGGGGGGCAGGAGAAAACUGUGGAAUAGGGAAGGUUUUUUCUAAGGCUUCAUUAUUGUGCCAGUCUCAAGUUGAAAAGAGGCUACAUGAUUGUACAUUCAAGUCUUAUGUUUUCCUAUAUUUGAAAAAUAAAAACAUUUAUAAAAUAUAUGCAAUGUUUACUGGGUGCUUUUCCUCGUAUUAGUGUUUUAAAGCAAUUGAAGAAAAUAAAUAUUUCAGUAUAAAAAGGAGCAAAUGUAUAUGAAUAAGUACUUAAGAGAAAAAAAUUUUAGUGACAGCUUUAAUGGUUGAUAAUUCGGUACCCUUCAGUUCACCCAUUUAAAGUAUACAAUUCAUUGAUUUUUAUUAUAGUCACAAAUGUGUACAACUGUUACCAAAGUGAAUUUGAUAAUUUUUUUUUUUCACCUCAUAAAGAACCCUGUACCCUUGGCCAGGCACAUUUGCUCAUGCCUGUAAUCCCAGCACUUUGGGAGGCCCAGGUGGGCGGAUCACUUGAGGUCAGGAGUUCGAGACCAGCCUGGCCAACAUGGUGAACCUUGUCUCUACUAAAAAUAAAAAAAUGAGCCGAGUGUGGUGGUGGGCGCCUGUAAUCCCAGCUACUUGGGAGGCUAAGACAGGAGAAUCGCUUGAACCCGGGAGGCGGAGGUUGCAGUGAGCUGAGACUGUGCCAUUGCACUCCAGCCUGGGCAACAAGAGUGAAACUCUGUCUCAAAAAACAAAAAACAAACAAACCCUGUACCCUUUAGUUAUCAUCUUCCAUCCCCUCAUCUUCUCUAGCACUAAGCGGCUGAUAAUCUACUUUCUAUCCUUAUAUAGAGUUGCCUUUUCUGAAUAUUUUAUGUAAAUUGGAUCAUAUAAUAUGUGGUCUUUUUAAAUUGGCUUUUUCCAUGCAGCAAAAUGUUUUCAGGGUUUAUUGAUGUUGAAUGUAUCAGUAGUUGAUAACUUCUUCGGGCUGAACAACAUUCCAUUUUAUGGCUGUGUACUACAUUUUGCUUUUCCAUCAGUUGAUGUCUAUUUGUUUUUGCAUUUUGGCAGUUGCAAAAAUGUUGCAGUGAGCAUUAGCAUACAAAUAUCUAUUGGUGUUUCUGCUUUGAAUUCCUUUGGUAAUAUACCUAGGAUGGAAUUGUUGAGUUACAUGGAUUACCUGACUUUUAAAAUUACAAUAAUCUUACUGGGUGUGAGAUGGUAUCUCAUUGUGGUUUUAAUUUGCAUUUCUUUGAUGACUAAGUAUGUUAAGCAUAUUUUCAUGUGUUCAUUGACUAUUCACCUAUCCUUUCCAGAGAAAUAUCUUUUCAAAUUCUCUGCCCCAUGAGUGGGGGCUGGCUAGAAGAGGGGAUUGAAUGUCAACUUCUUAGCCAUGUGUACCUUCUAACUUAGCAGCAGGAGGUUGCUGUGGUAGGAUGGGAAAUGCUGACAUCCUGCCCCUCACCCCGCUAGGAAGGCAGGCUUUCAGCUCUGUACUAAGGCAUAGCUUUCCAACUUGGACCUCUGGGAGAGGGAGGCCUGUGUUCUUGGCUGUAGCCAGCUAGAGUGGUUUUUCUUUCUCAUUGAGCUGAGGGUGGGGAAGAAAGGAGCAGCAUCUUGAUUCACAUACCACAGACUCUUGCUUUUCUUACUGAGUUUUAGUACAUUUUCUUGAAUAAACGUUUCUUCAUUUGCUGCAUACUGUUAGGACCACUUCCAGAGAUUUUAGAUAGUUGUGUUCUUUUAAAGAGUAUGUACCAGUUUCACUGGGGAUCUGAUCUGCAGGGAUCUUCCCUCUCAUGCUAGCAAGAAAAAUUGAGUUCUCAUAAACCAAGUAAAAUAUUCAAGCUUUCCUACUAAUUAAAUGUUUUAGAACCUUACAGUGGAAUAUUUUGUAUCCAUCAAGUUCUUGAAAGUAGAAACCAUCUAUCUUGAUAUUGGGUAGAAAGAGGAAGUUAGACACUAUGGAGUAUCUAGUUUUUAUAAAAUUCAACACAUACCUAAAUAUACAAUAUCAUGUACUUCUCCCCUAUAAGACAUAUUUUAUUAAUUAAAUUACAUCAGGUUUUUCUUAAGUAUUCUGUUCUCCACAUUUUAAAAUUCAAAAGCUUUAAGGUGGUAUCUAAUAAAUAGCUGUUUUCCUGCCUCUGUCCUACCAAUAACAGCUCAUUAGGGAUAAACUAUAGUUAUCCCUAUAGUACUAAUCUAACUAAUAGUACUAAUAGUUACAGAUAGUACUAACCAGUGCUACUAAUUUCUUAUAUUUCUUUAUAGGAAAUCUAUGUAUAACAAGUAAAUAUAAAUACAUAUUAGUUCAUUGUCACACUGCUAUAAAGAACUGCCUGAGACUGGGUGAAUUAUAAAGGAAAGAGGUUUAAUUGACUUAUAGUUCUGCAGGGCUGGGGAGGCCUCAGGAGACUUACAAUCAUGGCAGAAGGGGAAGCAAACAUGUCCUUCUUCACAUGGCAGCAGCAAGGAAAAGUGCAGAGCAACGCAGUGAGAGCCCCUUAUAAAACCAUCAUAUCUCGUGAGAACUCACUAUUAUGAGGACAGCAUGGAGGUAACCACCCCCAUGAUUCAGUUACCUCCCACUGGGUUCCUCCCAUGACACAUGGGGGUUAUGAGAACUACAAUGCAUGAUGAGUUUUGGGUGGAGACACAGCCAAACCAUAUCACAUAGUCUCCCUCUUUUUAUGUUUUUGUUAUUUGUGUUUUGUUUUAUGUUUACCCAAAUAAUCAUUUAUUUUUUAUUAACAUUUAUGGGUUAUGUUUACCAUAUAACCCAUUUUUAUACCUUACUGUCCUAUCCCCACCCCAAAAUGACAUUAUAGUACUUGCGAAUUUGCUCCAGUACAGCAUAAAGCAUAUUCUAAUUUUUUAUGGCUACAUAAUGGGCAUUUAGUAAUUAAAACAGUUGCAUAUUAAUAAACAUAAAUAGGUUCUUUUUUGAGAUAAGGUCUCACUCUAUGUCCCAGGCUAGAGUGCAGUGGUGUAAUCAUGACUAACUGCAGCUUCCCAUGCCCGGCUAAUUUUUUAAAUUUUAUACAGACAGGAUCUUGCCCAGGCUUGGAGUACAGUGGUGUGAUUAUGGCUCACUGCAGCCU